rnacentral:lncRNA from 1 species
AGAAGUCCUGUUUCGUUCUUUUGAAUUAAACUGUUUUUCUUUCUUUCUUUUUCCUUCUUUAAGGAGGCUUGAGGAAAAACCAACAAAAAAGAAGAAAAGCCUCACCAGACUUGCAUCAGCCUUAAAGUACCUCCCAGAGGUCUUCUUAAGGUGUCCCCAGGCUGAACGCUGUGCUUGCCGUGGCCUGCAGGGAUUGGUCAGGAUUUGGUCCCAACUAGGGCGACCACCUGUUGUUGUCCUUCUCCAGUCCUGCCCUAGAAGCAGAGUGAGAAGAGACACUCAGCCCCCAAGGCUAGCACACAGGACCGGAACCCACUUCCCCCAGGAAGGGGUCUGUGUGAGAAGCGUGUCUGAUGUGUGAGAUGGCCGUCUGAGUCACAAAUUCCUGCUUCGUGAGGAGCCUGGCCUCAACAUGGCCACGGGGGACCUGGAGGUGCUGGACAGGGGUCUGGGCUGCCCCGAGGCCAUGGAGGAGCUGACCAAGUCAGUGGAGAGAUCCAGGGAAGAAUCACAGGAGGAGGAGGAGGCCGAAGGUAGUGAGAAGGCAGAAAGUAAAGAAGAGACGAGCAGCCAGGUGCAGGUGCAGGUGCAGGUGCAGGGGCCGGCUGAGGAGGAGCAGGCCCUGGAUGGGAUCGGGGACGGUGCCAGGAAGCCCUCCAAGGUGAAGGCAGAGAAGGAGCACUUGGCCGACAAGGGGGGCUCAGGAAAGGAGAGAGGGAAGACAGCUGCAGCUCCGAAGAGUGCCCCAGCUAGGAAGAAAACCAAGGGCCAGUCCCAGCCCCAGGUGAAGCCACAGCCCCGGGCACUGGGGCCCACGUUCGAUGAGCUGCCUUGGGGAGAGAUCACCCUCAACAAGUGCCUGGCGCUGGCCUCAGUUGUGGCUGUCCUCAGCAUGGCCUUCCAGGUGUUCCAGGAUGUCAUUGAUGGGGAGGAGGAGGGCCCUGAGGCUGCCCCUGCCCUGUGGGCCUGGCCAGGCAGCAGUGCCCCGAGGGACAGCAGACCCAAGCUGGUGAGGAGGGGGGGAAGAGGCCUGCGUUCAGAACUGGAGGCUCUGGGUUCAGAUGCCAGCUCCGCCGUUUUCUAGUCACCCAACCUCUGAGUGUUAGUUUCCUCCUCACUGAGGUACCUUCCGACUCUAAAGUCUGUGACCCUCGGGGGCUGUUUGGUCCCCUCCAUUGGCCCCUGGGAGCAAGAGACCAGGAGGGCUGGGGCCCAGGCCCUCUGUGGCAGCCCCUCAUCCUGGGCCUGAGGGCUUUCCCAGCAUGGAAGUGACCCACCCAUCAGCUUGGGUAUGGAGAGGCAGGCCUGCCUGAUGCAGCCACACCCCCAAGGUGAGGUUGGCUUCUCUCCUUCAAGCCCCAUUAAAGCCCUGUUCCCCCGGGCCACCAUUGACCUCCUCUCUCCUGUUCCACACAAGGGUGACCCUCUCAUGACCCAGGCUGAGAUCUGUCCAGGAUAUAGCCCAGCCACAUAAGCCUGUCCCCUGCCCCUGGCCAUUAGCUCAGCCAAGAUCUCUGUUCCUCAAACAGCCCAAGCCCAGAGACUGGGCUAAGGCGUCAGCACCAGCCGCACCUCCAGGGCCAAAGCCCCAGACUGCCGUGGUCAAGGAGGCCUCACCCAAAGAGCCGGACACAGAGGGGCAAGAAGCGGAGGGUAAGGUGAGUCCUGGCCCGGCCCCAGAAGCAGCCGUUCUGCCUGAGGACCCCCGCCCCAGCUCCAAGGUGGCCAAGCCAGAGAAGCCGCCCUGGGCAGCGCUGCCCAAGAAGGAGGAGAAGGCCAAGGACAGGAAGGGCUUCCGAGAGGACAGGGCUGAGCCCCCGUGGCGGGAAAAGAAGGAGGGCGGCCAUAGGCCGAGGCCGCGCCAAGAAGGGAAGGAGGAGGCCCCACGCAGGCCCUGGGAGCGGGAGCAGGAGCACAGGCGCCCUGGCAGGCAGGAGGACUCCAAGAGGGCCCGGGAUGGACCCCGGAGCAAGAGACAAGAGCAGAGGGGCCGCGGGGGGCGCGAGGGGCGUGAAGACAGGGACAGGUUCUUCCCCAAACAGAAGCACCGGGAAGGAAAGCGGAGGGACUGAGGAGGCCCGAGGAGGCCCGUCCCUGGCUCCCAGAGGGCACAGCCCUGCGGCCCAGCAGCCGUCGGCCCUGGCCAUCCGGCCCGGCCAUUCCACCCCUGCUCCCUGCGACGUGUGGCCACCUGGGUUCAAAUCCUGUGUGAUUUGAGCAAGACACGUCCCUGAACCUCAGCUUCUCCUCCUAGAAAAUGAGGACUGACCACCCCUGAGCGACUGUGACCGCGGAGGGGAUUGCCGUGGGGGGGAUCGCCGCGGAGGGCUGCGGGGGAGUGUGCAGCCUCUCUGGGUGGCCGAGAGCUGCCACCAUGGCUGCGCCCCCAGCCCCUCCCCCAGCCUCCCGAGGCUGGUUCAGUUCCAGGUGCACGGUCUGAGUUUGUUAUAAAGUGAAUGUUUAAAAAUAAAAACACCGUCGUUCAGGC